AACGAACGCUGGCGGCAUGCCUAACACAUGCAAGUCGAACGAGACCUUCGGGUCUAGUGGCGCACGGGUGCGUAACGCGUGGGAACCUGCCCUUAGGUUCGGAAUAACUCCCCGAAAGGGGUGCUAAUACCGGAUAAUGUCUUCGGACCAAAGAUUUAUCGCCUUUGGAUGGGCCCGCGUUGGAUUAGCUAGUUGGUAGGGUAAAAGCCUACCAGGGCGACGAUCCAUAGCUGGUCUGAGAGGAUGAUCAGCCACACUGGGACUGAGACACGGCCCAGACUCCUACGGGAGGCAGCAGUGGGGAAUAUUGGACAAUGGGCGAAAGCCUGAUCCAGCAAUUCCGCGUGAGUGAUGAAGGCCUUAGGGUUGUAAAGCUCUUUUACCCGGGAUGAUAAUGACAGUACCGGGAGAAUAAGCUCCGGCUAACUCCGUG
rnacentral:rRNA from 1 species